UACGGAGGGGGCGAGCGUUAUUCGGAAUUAUUGGGCGUAAAGGGCGCGUAGGCGGCCUUGUAAGUCAAAGGUGAAAUCCCUCGGCUCAACUGAGGAACUGCGUUUGAAACUGCAAGGCUUGAGGCCGGGAGGGGGUAGCGGAAUUCCCAAUGUAGCGGUGAAAUGCGUAGAUAUUGGGAGGAACACCAGUGGCGAAGGCGGCUACCUGGACCGGUUCUGACGCUGAGGCGCGAAAGCGUGGGUAGCAAACAGG
rnacentral:rRNA from 1 species